rnacentral:rRNA from 1 species
GCUUACGGCCAUACCAGCCUGGGUACGCCCGAUCUCGUCUGAUCUCGGAAGCUAAGCAGGGUCGGGCCUGGUUAGUACUUUGAUGGGAGACCGCCUGGGAAUACCAGGUGCUGUAAGAA